GUCUUCGCUUUGACAGCACUAGACUAAAAUUGUGAUGAUACAGAGAAGACCAGCAUGAUCUCUGUGCAAGGAUGACAUGCAGACUUGCGUCUCAUAUUUUU
ensembl:snRNA U6 U6 spliceosomal RNA